rnacentral:rRNA from 1 species
UACGGGGGGAGCAAGCGUUGUUCGGAUUUACUGGGCGUAAAGCGUGCGCAGGCGGUUUUGUAAGUCUGACGUGAAAUCCCCGGGCUCAACCUGGGAAUGGCGAUGAAGACUGCAAGGCUAGAAUCUGGCAGAGGGGGGUAGAAUUCCACGUGUAGCAGUGAAAUGCGUAGAGAUGUGGAGGAACACCGAUGGCGAAGGCAGCCCCCUGGGUCAAGAUUGACGCUCAUGCACGAAAGCGUGGGGGAGCAAACAGG